CAGGGUUAGUCUGGACCUAACACGAGGCCGUAAGGCGUAGUGGAUGGACAGAAGGUUAAAUAUUCCUUCACUGACUAGGAUUAAGGUAUGGAGUGCGUAGAGAGAAAAGUGACUAGGCAAUCGAAUGCUGAGCUUAGGUUUCGGCCGAAGCGUAUCACCGGACAAUCUAUCUAGAAAAGCUCCAUACUGUUUCCCUGGUUACCAGUACCGUAAACCGACACAGGUGGGUGAGUCGAAUAGACUAAGGCGCGCGAGAGAAACCUCUCUAAGGAACUCGGCACAUUAGCCCCGUAACUUCGGGAGAAGGGGUGCCCUUCGCAAGAAGGGUCUCAGUAAAUUGCGUUUAGCGACUGUUUAACAAAAACACAGCACUCUGCAAAGUCGUCAAGACGACGUAUAGGGUGUGACACGUGACCAAUGCGGAAAGAUCAAGGCAACUUGUUAGCCGUAAGGCGAAGCUCGGAACCUAAGUCCCCGUGAAUGUCGGCCGUAACUAUAACGGUCCUAAGGUAGCGAAAUUCCUUGUCGGGUAAGUUCCGACCUGCACGAAUCGUGUAACGACUGAACGACUGUCUCGGAGAGGAUCUCGGCGAAAUUGUAAUUGCGGUGAAGAUGCCGCAUGCCCGCAGUACGACGGAAAGACCCUAUGCACCUUUACUGUAAGCUCGUAUUGUGUUCUGAUUCAUGAUGCUUAGCGUAGGUGGGAGACUUUGAAGCUGUGGCUUCGGUUGCAGCAGAGUCGCAAUGUGAAACACCACUCUUUGUGAAUUAGGAUUCUAACCUCAGCCUGUUAGCCAGGUGAGGGACAGUGCGUGCGGGUCAGUUUGACUGGGGCGGUUUCCUCCCAAAUUGUAACGGAGGAGCGCGAAGGUACUCUCAGCAUGGUUGGCAACUAUGCGUCGAGCGUAUGGGUAGAAGAGUGCUUAACUGUGAGACCUACAAGUCGAGCAGGUACGAAAGUAGGCCCAAAUGAUCCGACGGUAGAAUGUGGAAUUGCCGUCGCUCAACGGACAAAAGGUACGCUAGGGAUAACAGGCUGAUCGGAUCCAAGAGUUCAUAUCGACGAUCCGGUUUGGCACCUCGAUGUCGGCUCAUCGCAUCCUGGGGCUGGAGAAGGUCCCAAGGGUCCGGCUGUUCGCCGGUUAAAGCGGUACGCGAGCUGGGUUCAGGACGUCGUGAGACAGUUCGGUCCUUAUCCACUGUGGGCGCAGGAAACUUGAGGGGUUCAUUCUCUAGUACGAGAGGACCGAGAAUGACGCACUUCUGGUGUGGCAGUUAUUCCGUCAGGGGUAGCGCUGCGUAGCCAUGUGCGGAAGAGAUAAGCGCUGAAAGCAUCUAAGUGCCAAGCUCAUCCCAAGAUAUUGUUUCCCGGUCGCAAGACCCUAAAGACUCCAGGAGGACUACCUGGUUGAUAGGUUAGGCGUGUAAGAGGAGUAAUCUUUUUAGCGGACUAAUACUAAUUUGUCGUGCGGCUUGAUUAC
rnacentral:rRNA from 1 species